rnacentral:misc_RNA from 1 species
UCUCUUGAGUUGGACAAAUGGCAG